GCGGGUGUAGCUUAAUGGUAAAGCCCCAGCCUUCCAAGCUGGAUACGUGGGUCCGAUUCCCAUCACCCGCUCCA
rnacentral:tRNA from 1 species